GGAACUCAUAGAUGACACAACUACACCAC
rnacentral:sRNA from 1 species